UACGGGAGGCAGCAGUGGGGAAUAUUGCACAAUGGGCGCAAGCCUGAUGCAGCCAUGCCGCGUGUAUGAAGAAGGCCUUCGGGUUGUAAAGUACUUUCAGCGGGGAGGAAGGCGAUGCGGUUAAUAACCGCGUCGAUUGACGUUACCCGCAGAAGAAGCACCGGCUAACUCCGUGCCAGCAGCCGCGGUAAUACGGAGGGUGCAAGCGUUAAUCGGAAUUACUGGGCGUAAAGCGCACGCAGGCGGUCUGUUUAAGUCAGAUGUGAAAUCCCCGGGCUUAACCUGGGAACUGCAUUUUGAAACUGGCAGGCUUGAGUCUUGUAGAGGGGGUAGAAUUCCAGGUGUAGCGGUGAAUGCGUAGAGAUCUGGAGGAAUACCGGUGGCGAAGGCGGCCCCUGGGACAAAGACUGACGCUCAGGUGCGAAAGCGUGGGGAGCAAACAGGAUUAGGAUACC
rnacentral:rRNA from 1 species